ensembl:snRNA U2 U2 spliceosomal RNA
AUCGCUUCUCGGCCUUUUGGCUAAGAUCAAGUGUAGUAUAAGCCACAAACGCCUUUCUUGUCACGAAACUGAGGCAACAGAAAUCUUUCGUCCUGUAUACUCUUUCCUUUUUUUGGUUAUUUUUGUCGUGGCUAUGAGAAAAUAACCGAAGCACUA